GAAGUGCCGGCGUCAUUAAUUUCUGGGCAACUAUUAUAAAGCUGAACUCUCUAUCUUUUUGGAUUUUUAAGUUUUCGAGCAAAAACAAUACUAUAUUAGUAGUAGUUUAAUAUAUCAUAGCAAAAACAAUAUAUUAGAAUCUGGUAAAUGUUUCUUUUAGAUUUGCUGGGUUUCUUUGCCUAUAUAUCAAUAUCAUACAUGAAUUUUGGUGCUUUUUGUUUUUUAUUGAUCUCCGAAAGGCUGCUGCAAGUUCCAACAACUGCGUCUGAGAGUUAUGGCUUUCCGCGGACAAUUGGCUAAUGGUAGUACUGUUGCUAGUUCUUUUCUUGGACAAAUAAGAGGAUAGGAUACUACAAGAACCGUUCGGUUGAGCAAAUAAAAAGAAGGCAAAAAAGAAAAAACCUUCGGCCCCUAGUAUUAGACGUCACCAAUCUUCUUUUGUCUCGGACCAGUUGUAUCUUCAAUUGCGUAUGCUACGUGGUACGUACCUCAAACUUGGACCAAUUUACACAAAGCUUAAUAAUACUAGUAUAUAUAUACAUAAAAGUUAAUAUUUAACGUAUCUAUGUUGUCAAUUGACUCUCCUUACCGAUGAGUGGCUGCGCCACAACCUCAUAAUUUUAUUAUCUUCCCAUGCAUGUUACAUCAAAAGUGAUACUCAAACUUGGGUUGAUUUUAUUUCUUGACGGGGCUUUCAUGUUGUAUACGGCCGAAAUAGAUUUCGGCCUUCGUACGAUUGAUCAGGGUCGAAAUAUAAUGGAUCGAAGAAAGACUUCGUAAUAUCGAGAUGGGUCCCGAAGAUGAUACAAACAACCUUCGGAUCCCAGGUAUAGAUCAAACACCGAGUUCGAAGUCAUCAUCGAGCUCGGGUCCGGAUCGAACUAUAAUGAGAUGAUUUCGAGCUUAAAGGGCAGAGGCCAACCGAGGCCGAAUCCGAAUCAUCACCUGAUCCCGAGUCCGUAUCAAGCUCUAGAAGCACUAUCGACCGACACCGAGGCCGACCGAGCUCGAGCCCAUAGACAAGAGCCGUUGCAAACACACUAAGGGAGAGAAUCUCGGCGGGAAUAAGAGAAAAGCUGA